rnacentral:tRNA from 1 species
GGGGUUGUAGCUCACUGGUAGAGCGCUCACCUAGCGAGUGCGAAGCUCUGGGUUCGAUCCUCAGCACUACA